CCAGGUGUUGCUUACACAUGUCACAUGCCUUGCAGUGAUCUGCGUGGGAAACUUCAGUGUUUCUCCGCGUGCCAUAGCGGAGAGGGUGCAACUGUUGACAAUGUUAUGGAAAAAAAAAAAAAGAAAGAAAAGUGGGUGUUCACUGUGGGACAACAGAGACACGGCUUUUAUGUGAAGUGUGUGGGAGAUUGUACAAUAAACCACCUUGCCCUCAUGUGUGGAAGACCAGUGUGAUUUACACAAGCAGUGUGGUCUGUUUCCGCAUCCUCCACCAGAACAUACCUGCGAAGUUGGAGAUCCUGAUUCUUCUGACUCACCACAGCCAAGGAUGAGUAGAUUAUCAAAGAAUGUAUUAAAUUCUUCCGAGACUUCAAGUCCCCCGCUACCUACACAAGACACGUUACGAGCAGAAGCAGACCACGAUGAGCGUGGGCCACUGGAAGAACCGCACUUAAUUGAUUCGAGGGAAAAUUUUAUGAGGACCUUCACCAGACAUGAAUAUGACAUACCUGAACAUGUAAGCAGAGAUCCACUCGGUCUACUUACCUAAGACAGGGAGUUCUUUAUACAGUAAAUUAGAUUAUAUUUCAAGUCACAUGGUUCGCCAUUCCCUUCCACCCUGGAAAUAUUUUCACAUUUCUCUUUCACUAGUUAAAUUCUUAACCUUAGGCGAGGAUGAACAUCGAGUCAUUCAUAUUGGUUUUGGAGCACGUCUGAUCACCUAUCAAGAUGUGCCUGACCUUGUUGAUUUAUGGAUCCAUCAGCUGAACAGUCGGUUGGAAAGCCUUACCAGCGAGACUGAAGGAUCUGGUUUUAUCAUUUCAAGAGUAGAUAAUUUUUUUUCAUCAACUAUUGCUUGCAUGCCGCGUGCAAUGGCAUAGGAUAUUAUGUUGCAUAUCCUAGAGGCGUGCAAGGUAGGAAUGAAAUUUUCAUUCCUGAUAGCAGACAUUCAUCCUGCGUUAUUCAGUGUUUGGCAUCAUUGAGACUUCACGGCCGAGGAGAAGAAGGAGGAGGGGUAGUGUGGUUUAAUGUGUGGGUUGUGACGUGAUCGGCUGGGACUUUCCAUGAUAUUAUUAACGUCAUAAUUAGGGGAUAGAGAGGUUGCUAGCGUUGUUGUUGUACGUGUAAUGUAAGAACAAUUUUAUUGUCCACGAGGGUUAAGGAGUAGGAGGAGAAGUAGGAGCAGGAGGAGGAGGAGGAGGAGGAGGAGGUAAUGUAAGAACAUAUGUACCUAGGCUAAGGAGAAUGAAGAGGAGGAGAUAAUGUAGGAACAUCUGUACUUAGGCUAAGGAGAAUGAAGAGGAAGAGAUAAUGUAGGAACAAAUGUACUUAGGAAAAAGAGAAUGAAGAGGAGGUUGAGGAAGAGACGUGAAUCGGAAGAGAUCCACGUCAUAAUUAGAGGGUAGGGAUGAGGAUGCAGCUGGUAGGCUAGUUAUGCUGUUACCUACAGGACCAUGUAAAUAAAGGUUAAGCAAUAAAUACUGUGA